GAGGGGAAGGAGGUGUAAUGACUCGCUGGUCCACGUGGGGGACUCUGGGCUGCAGGUCUUGCCUGAGGUUUCGCCGGCUCCCGCCAGGCCCCUGCCAGGAGCAGAUCACUUACAUCGCGCGGAGGGAUCCGUGCCCCUCAGAGCUGCCUGGGAAACGCGGUUUGUCUGAGCAGAGCACUGGCUGGUCUCAGGUGGAAACAGAUGGACUCUGGACACCAACAAGGCGGCACAAGUAGAGACGGGGUCUCGCUGUUGCUCAGGCUGGUUUUGA